rnacentral:rRNA from 1 species
AUUGAACGCUGGCGGCAUGCCUUACACAUGCAAGUCGAACGGUAACAGGUCUUCGGAUGCUGACGAGUGGCGAACGGGUGAGUAAUACAUCGGAACGUGCCUAGUAGUGGGGGAUAACUACUCGAAAGAGUGGCUAAUACCGCAUGAGAUCUACGGAUGAAAGCAGGGGAUCGCAAGACCUUGUGCUACUAGAGCGGCCGAUGGCAGUUUAGGUAGUUGGUGGGAUAAAAGCUUACCAAGCCGACGCUCUGUAGCUGUUCUGAGAGGACGAUCAGCAACACUGGGACUGAGACACGGCCCAGACUCCUACGGGAGGCAGCAGUGGGGAAUUUUGGACAAUGGGCGCAAGCCUGAUCCAGCAAUGCCGCGUGCAGGAUGAAGGCCUUCGGGUUGUAAACUGCUUUUGUACGGAACGAAAAGCCCUGGGUUAAUACCCUGGGGUCAUGACGGUACCGUAAGAAUAAGCACCGGCUAACUACGUGCCAGCCGCCGCCGUAACAC